AUAAAUCUCAAGAAUCUCAAGUAAUCCAGGAACGCGGCGCGUUGGCCUCUCCGAGUAACUUUUAGGGCAAACCAGAAAGUAACAACCAAAGUCCUCCCCUUACUCAGAGGCAGAUCCUGAGGACACGAGGCUGGGCGGUCCCGAGGCUGAUUUGGAGGGGCGGGGGUUAAUGGGGGACGCCCCUCGCCGAGCCUCAGUUCCGGGCGCCACAGUUCCGGGGAGGGGGCGCGGCGGGCGGAGUUCCUCUGCCCCUUUCCUACUCCUUCCCGGGUCAGCUUCUCCUCGAGCCCACCCCCGCAGGGCCGCGGGGAAGGAGAAGGGAACCGCUCGUCUCCUACACGCGGUCCGCGAGCGCGGACGGCCCCCGGCGGCCCCACGCGGCAGCGGAGCAGCCUCCCGCAGCCACGAUUCUCUCCACGUGCUCUCGCCGGAACUCGCGCUGCAGAAGGGGGCUCCCUCCCACGUGGGCGCAGCAAUCCCUGACUACCUGCGGGGUGACCCGCCCCUCCAGUAACAGGGAAAAAGGGACUGGGGGAGAGAGCGUGAGCGCGUGCCGGAGCUCAGGGAGGGAGGGCGCCCGGCGGAGCGCGACCUCGGCUCCCCGCCCGCGCGCACUCGCCGGCUGUGCUUAGCGGACGUGGCUCCUGGCGCCCAGGAGUGUCCCGGCUGCCCAAACUUUUUCCGCUCCCAGGCCCGGAGUAGGGAGGAAGCGGGUCCCCGCAGGGUCGAGGAAGAGACUGAUGGAGGCCAGACCACUUUGCCAGAGCCCAGCCUGCCGCCCCGCCCGCGCUGACUUACCUUCUGCACUUGGUCAUGGUUGAGCUCCGUGAAGAAGUAGGCAAGCAGAUGCGAGGCAAUCAUCCUGCCGCGGCCCGACGGCGCAGAGUUGGGAAACCGAGGCGGAGACGCGAGAGGGGAGGCGGGCGGCGCGGUCCGACUGCUUUGUGCUGGGGCUCGGCUGCCGGGCCGGGAGCUGGGAGUCCGGACGGCGCACAAAGAAGGCUACCGGCGAGGGUGCGCCCGGCUGGCGGAGGGCGCGGGUCUCCGGAGACGUGAUUUUGGCGUCACAACUGCUAGAAGGCGCCUCAGUUCUCUCCUGGCGACGUGUCCGGUUGUCCCACGUCAAGGCGCUAACUUCGGCCACAGGAUCACUGAGGCUCAACUUGAGAAGAAUCUCAGCCCGGCUCCACUCGGGCAGUGGGACCUCUCCGAUUCACAGGCGCGUGGCUCGGGCCCGCGGAUUUUCUUAGCUGGGUGACACGAUGUUGCCAGCGGCAGCCCGGGACUCCUGCGCCGGAGUUUCAUGCAACAAUGUGGCUUAUUGAGGGGCUGCCGGCCCGCGGGCCUCCGGAUCAGUGACGUGCGCACGCCCAUUGGCUGCGCGGGGAGGGUGUGUGCGCCCACGGACCGCCCGCCGCCGUGGCGCAGCCAAUCAUCGCUCACGGCUCGCGGGCGCGGCCGCUCAGACACCGGAGCCGGCAGCCUGGGGAGGCGCGCCGGGGGCGGGGGGCGGGGGAGGGGCGGGGCGCCUGAGAUGGGACGUGUGGUCCGUGGCUAAAGGCUGGGACGGAAAGGCGCAUGAGCCACCGCCGCGUCAGGCUCGGCUAUGGGUGGGGGGAGCGUGAUCGCGGACCCGGGGUGUGGGGCGACUGGAAAAACGGGCCUCUGGACCAGCACACGCCCUGUGCGGAGAGACACUGUCUGGCAUCUCGGGAUCAUGUGAGGGGCUCCCACUGCCCAGUCACACGUCUAAAGCAUCCUAGUUCUUACCUAUUGUAGCACGGCCGGAAAGUGAGCCGCCUUAGCUGCUGAUUGUACUAGAGCAGGCAAUACAAGAGUCGGCCCAUCCUCAAAACCACUGAUAGGAUGUGAGUUUCACUAACCCCGUUUUACAGAUGAGGAAAUUGAGGCAAGGCCAGGGCUCACACCUGUAAUCCCAGCACUUUGGGAGUCCAAGGUUGGAGGGUUGCUUGAGACCAGGAGUUCAUGACCAGCCUGGGCGACAUAGUGAGACCCCCAUCUUCCCAAAUAAAAAUAAAUAAAUCAGCCGGACAUGGUGGCAUGUGCCUGUAGUCCCUGCUGCUCAGAAGGCUAAGGUGGAAGGAUAGCUUGAGCCCAGGAGUUCGAGGCUGCAGUGAGCUAUGAUCAUACCACUGUACUCCAGCCUAGGUGACAGAGGGAGACCCUGUCUCAAAAAGAAAAGAGACUUACACGAGGUCACAUAGCUAAUAAGUGGCAGAUAGGGAAGAGAACCCUUGUCCCUCUACUUUAAGGCCCUAUUCGCUUGCCCCAUUAUCCCAUGCUGCCUCUCUAAGAGCCAGAGAAGUAGGAGGUAGAAAAAGAGCAUCUCUGCAGCUCUGGGACUGAUGAUGUGAAUGAACUGGGUAGAUGGUAAGUGUGUAACUGGGUGAUCUUGGACAUGGGAUGGGGUGGGUGAGGAGGCUUACCAAUGCUGAGAGGAGUGGAAGCUCCAACCCCAGCUAAUGCUAGACACCAGACUCCAAAUUUAAACACACAGUGGAAACUGGCAAGAAUGAAAUACUGACUUCAAUACAGAUUUCAAGAGACAUGACAUUAGCACUGGUGGAGAAUGGCAAGCCUAAGGUUGGAAAAGGUUCAGGGAAGGAAGAUGAAGGUCUGCCAUGUUCUACUGAGGAGGAGUUUUUCAAACAGUGGGGUGCUGUCUGCAAUGUGUACAGCCUUAAAAUUAUUAUAUAAGUAAUCAAUACUCAUUGUUGAAAAAUAAUAUAUGGAUAAACAGGAAAAAUAAACAAAAAUCAUAAUCCAUCUAGCCUCUCAGCAAAACUUCCUUUUUUUUUUUUUUAAAGCAGGGACUCGAUAUGUUGCCCAGGCUGGUCUUGAACUCCUGGGCUCAAGCAGUCCUCCCACUUCAGCGUCCCAAAUAGCUGGGAUUACAGAUGUGCUCAGCAAAACUUCUUGAGAACUAUGUACCCUUCUAAAUGCACGUCCUCAACCCUCCUUCCCUAUACUCCACACAGAAUUGAGCUCAAACUGCUUUUGUCAUAGUCAUCAUAAUGACCUACAUGUUGCCAAAUCUUGCAUUCUCUUCUCUUCCCUGCCCUUGUCUUACUCCUUCUCUCAGGGAUGUUGAGGACAGUUAAUCACAUCCUCCAUCUGGACACACCUUCCUCUCUCAGUAAGAGCACCAGUGCUCCACUCUGAGGGUUUCUGGCUAACCUCACUCCCCAGGCUCCUGAGUCCCUGUUUGCUCUAUUGGUAAAUGCUGGGGUAUUCGGGGCUGCCCUCCACCCUCUUCUCUGAACUAGUUACAGUUUCAAACUCCCUGAGGAGAAACUAACUUCCUAGCCCCAUGACUGUUAUAUCAUAUGCAUGCUGAUGACUCACCAUAGUAAAUCUACAGCGAGGUCCUCUCCUGGAGUUGCAGGCUUAUUUCUCCAGCUUGCCAUUUGUCAUCUCCACUGAAGUGACUAGCAUAUCACACUUAACAUGUCCAAAGCUGAACUCAACUUUUUUUCCCAAAUCUUUUUCUUUCCCAGUUGUCUCAGCAAAUGGCAUCGCCAUCCACCCUAACUCGUCUUCGAUUCCUUCUUGCCACUCACCCUCACAGCCAGUCAAUCCAUCAGCAAGCAGUUAAUUCCACCUAUAAAACAGACCGUGCAUCUGACCACUUAUCUCCAUGCCCUUAGACACCUCCUGAGAUCUUCCCACAGAAUACUGCUUGGCAUUCACACUAGCAUGCUUUCCUCAAAAAUACAAACUCUUUCUCACCCAAGGGUCUUUGCUCUUCCUUUUCCUUCUAUCUAGAAUAUUCUUCUCCAGGCCUGUCUCCAACUCAUUCUUCCUCCUCAUUGACGUUCCACUCAGAUACCUCCUCAUGAUGCAGGGCAGGCAGGCCCCAAAAUUUGGACUUAGCCUGGGAAGAUUUUUGGCUUCACCCAGUAAAGAAUUCAAGGGAUGCCGGGCGCGGUGGCUCACACCUGUAAUCCCAGCACUUUGGGAGGCUGAGGUGGACGGAUCACGAGGUCAGGAGAUCGAGACCAUCCUAGCUAACACGGUGAAACCCCAUCUCUACUAAAAAAAAAAAAAAUACAAAAAAUUAGGCGUGGUGG
rnacentral:lncRNA from 10 species